rnacentral:lncRNA from 15 species
UCGCCGUUCUAGUCUUCCUUCGCUCAGUCCCCAGCCUCCCUGUCUUCCCGGCUGCUCGGGAACUACCGGGGGAUCUACAGAGCUAACAGAAGCUACCUUCGGUCGGACCGCACCGGCUACCGGGGGCUGGCUAACUAUAGCGGCUAAAGAUAUCUCAGUGGUGCGGUGCCGUUCCUCUAACUCACUAAGCCUCGCCUCCAGCGCAGUAAAUAAACUACAUUUAAUACAGGUACCAUUAUCUUUAAAGGAGGCAGAGGAAUAACUGAACAUCUGACACACUGAGCAGGACAGAGGAGAGGGAGAGGGAGAAGCCAUAGCUAACUGCUAAUGCUAAUGAAACUAGAGUGUAUGAAAAACUUUGAAAGUAGUGAAAAGUCCCUAAAAGAGGGAGAAACUCCAAGUGUUUAAGUAGAACUAGUCUACGUUUAAAUGUUAAGCGGGUAAAUAACCGCUGUAACGAGUAAAACUAAUUUAUAUUUAGCGUUCAACUGACAGAGCUACAGCACCAAACAGUGUACACAGAGCAGGAAGUAAACCGGAAGUGAGUCAGUACGCUUACCGUAGCACGUCCAAUCUCAGCAAUCUGUUUCUGAAGACAGUGAAGCUGUUCCUACUCACAGAUAUCAUGCAGACUUUUCCAUUAAAGGAAGUUGAUUGGUGAUUGGCUAAUCAGGUACCACCUUUUCUUCUGUGGUUGUUGUCUUUCUUGUUGUUUUUUUUAUUUUGCGAGAUUAGACACAGACAAGUGAAACAAGACAUGUCAGACCUUACGCAUUGUGUGACCAACCCCCCCCCAAAAAAAAGUCUCUCUCUCUCUCUCUCUCUCUCUCUCUCUCUCUCUCUCUCUCUCUCUCUCAGGACAGAAGACGUUCAUUGCAGCUAUGUAGCUUGUUGCCAUUUUGAAAGAUGGAACAGAACAAAUUUUCAGAAGCAGCUGUUGUAGUGUUGCUUUUGUUACCAAACUCAACUUCGACGGCCUUUGAUCAUUGUACAUUUGUUCUUUGUGUCUACUGUGGUGAGAGCAAUGUUAUCGGACAAUUUUCAGCAUUGAAGUUUUCAGCUCAAGCAUCUCUGCAACAUCAAAGGAUCGACUUGGGCCUUCAGAAACCACAGCUAGGGGCCUGUACUAAAAGGUGUUAAUCUGUUCAUGCAUGUGUGUGUACGCGUUUAUUUUUGCAACUAACCAAACAGGAAACUGUAUUCAGGCCUCCAGGGAAGUGUGAACAUUUAGACAUUUGUUUGACACAUGUAAGUCAUUGCCUGCAGAAUCUGUCUGUAAUGAUGUUGGCUUUAUUAUUGUGCAAUUAUUUAUUUUAUUAUAAUUUUUUAUAGGGGGGGCUUUCUUUAAUUGAUAAUGACAGCUGAAGAGUGGAAAGCAGGAGAGAGAGGGGUAAACACAGCAAAGGGCCACAGGUCAGAGUCUAACCCAUGGUUGUGCAGCAAGGAUUGGUCAGAAGUAAUACAGGGAGAUAGAUCUCAUUUCAUUCAUUAAUUUUGACUGCUUUUUUUUCUUGUGUUAUCACAACCAGAUACAGGUAUGCAUCACCUCUAUCACCACCCUGAACACCGGCGUCCCACAGGACUGUGUGCUGAGCCCCCUCCUCUACUCCCUCUUCACCUCCUGCCCUGGAGGUGCUACAGGUCUCUCCGUUCCUGAACUAGCAGGCUCAGGAACAGCUUUUUCCUAUUAGCUGUCAGCCUGCUAAACUCUGCAUCGAGGAGACCCCCCCUUCCCCCUGAACUCCCACUGAACUGUCUUUCUUUCUGUGUUUUUCAUAUUUACCCAUAGUGUAUAAAUAACCACCUAUAGUAUAAUCACAUCUAGCUGUCUGUAUAUAUAUACACUUAUAUUUAAUUACUUGUACUUACAUCCGCACUAUAUAUUCCACUGCUAAUCUGUUCAUACUGUAAAUAUCAAAACUUAAUAGCUGUAUAUAUCUUAGUGUAUUCACCUCACUCGGUUCAUUCUGUUAAUACUGUUCAUACUGUAAAUACCCUGCUAGUAAUUUCAUAUAUAUAUCUAUAAAGUUAUUUUUACAUAUUUUUAUAUACAUGCACAUUACUCUGCACUUUUCUGCUUUGCACUUCUGGUUAGAUGCUUAACUGCAUUUUGUUGCCUAGUACCUGUGCCCGUGCAAUGACAAUAAAGUGGAAUCUAAUCUAAUCUAAUCUAAUUUGGGAUCAGUCUUCUUGCAACAACCAUAGAAAUCUUUAAUUUUCAGUGGGACAUAACAUAUUAUCUCUGAUGUCUUCCCAUUUAAAACUUGAUGUUGCUGUCUAUGCAUACAUGUAUA